rnacentral:lncRNA from 1 species
GUUUAUCUUUCUGAGCUUCACCUUUCUUUAUAGAAGUUCACCUUUUGUCAACAUGUUGCAGUGUCUAAAUGCUAUUAAUCUGGGUAAAUUUACAAAAAUAGAUUCUUGCAGUUUAGCCUGUUUCUCAAUUAUCGUCCUAUGUAAAAUAUUGUAUCAACUUCAACUCUGCACUUCACCACUAUCUCAAAUAAACCCCAAAUUUGGGAUGAUUGAUAAAUGGUGGGUUUCCAAGCUUCGUGAAAGCGAGUUGGCGGAUGAUAAUGAUUGUCAUGUUCAGUAAAGUAGAUUCAUAAAUUGAAUAAAAUGUCCAGUAAAUUGCAAACUAGUAUAGGAGAGAGCUUCUAUUUUAGUUGUCCAAUAAAUUGCAAACUAGUACAGGAGAUAUCUUUUAUUUAGCUGUACAUUUAUUAUAUAAGAGCAUGCUUUUGUAGGGUCAGGCAGAACCAUGAUCACUUUACCGGAAUUUCCCUCAUAUUGUUAUCAAUGUCUUCAUGACGCAUGACAUCUUGCAACUUAGAUAAAUGUUCAGAUAUAGAACCAACAUGAUAUGCUAGACCAUUUUAGCACAUAUUUGUGCAGCAUGUUAACAAACAUCUCAAGUUUCUAGGCCUGUUUGAAGUAGUGGUGAGGUGCAGGGUUGAAAUCAAUGCUGAAGGGUAAUGGAGAUUUGAGACAGCAAAAAUGCAGGAUGUUGUUGUGUAAUUCGGCAUUAAAACAUGCCAAAUUGUACUCCUUUUAUGGUUAUAAAUUAUGAGCUAUAUGGCACCCGUAUUUUGUGGUUGUUGAUUUCUAGUAUUUAGUUUGAAUUUCUUUUUACCUACUUUUACCUACUUCCAGCAGCAUAUUUAAUCUGAACAUCUUUCUUGCUGUCCAUUUUGUCACUGUAGAUUUCACUUAAAUUCUUUAAGUGUUAUCCAUCUUAUAGUCAAUUAAUGAUUUUGAUUCUGCGGUUCAUUCAGAUUCGUUUCAGAAGAACUUGGUCUUGCAAGCCACUGUCUGAAGACGAAUUCUGUCAUGCUAUUGAAGAAAACUACUAUGAGCCCUUCAAGUUCCACUUUGGUUUGACUUACAAACAGGUAUGCUCCUCUUGUAAGUUUGAGAUUACGUACUAUUCACUUGAUUUCCUAGUUAUGUAGAUUGCAACUGAUGUGCAGUAGUUGAUCAUUCAGGUUUCCAAGCUGAUUUACUUGUUUUCUUUGAAGAAGACUAGUGUUCAACCUUACUGGGAAGCAACGAUACCUAACAAAAUGGAACAGCAGUUUGAGGGCACAGUUAGGGGAACUAGAUCAGUAAGGCUUAAUUCACAUGAACAACAUAAGUCUAUUUUAACAUCUGAAAAUUCGGCAGAUGAUUCCCGACAUGGGCUGUUUCAAAAGGUCCCAUACGGUGGUACCAAAUCGCUGUUUGGUUCUAUGUUUUCAGAAUCUCAAAAUGACAGCUCUCUUAAGAGUAAUUUGUCAAGUACGUUCUACGAUCAAUUUCACAAUAUCCCAAGCCAUGGAGUUGACCUCUCCUCCUCCAUUACUCAAGGCAUAGUUGGUUCAUUUUACAAGGAUCCAACUGCUUAUCCAAGGCUUUCCACCGGCACACACAUGCCUCCUAUUAGGAAUCAAUCUCCAAUACAAUCAGAUCUAAAUACCUUAAAUAUAUUGCCUGCCUCUAGCUUCCAGAGUACAUUUCUGCUUAACAGCGAAGAAGUGAAGAGAGACACAUCAUUCCCAGUUUAUGAGUCUGCUAGAAUCAGUACUCUUGACCAAGGUUACACUAGUCAUGCUACUCUCCAAGAUAACCAGGCUUACUCUCCUGACUAUUAUAUCCCUCCUGUUGUUAAAUCUGCUCCAGUAAACAAGAUUGUUGCACCAAAGGGCAUAGAAACUUUUCUGCCCUUGGUUGAGAGUUCAGGCAACAGUAACCAUCUCGCAGCUGAAAUGGAAUAUACUGUGAGAGGACAGCAACAUCAUAAUGUAGGGUCUGCCCCUGACUAUAUACCGCUCUCUUUGGAAUAUGAUGACUUCUGUGAUUCCAAGAUUGGCAUAGACUAUGAAGAAGAUCCGGCGCCUGACCUCCUAAUAAUGCAUGGAGAGAAUUACCGACAUCCUCAGCCUGUGGCCAAUUCCAGACUACAAUCAGAUUUUGAGCAAAGAAAAAGUGUGUUCACUCGUUUAUCAAGUGUGCCACGACCCACUCGUCAAAGCAACAUCAGACAUGAAUAUGAAGCAGGUCCCUCAGUGGAUCAAAUUUUGAGUAUCAUAUCUCAGAGAAGAGAACUGUGGGCUAAGACUUUUGGUACAACAGUUGAUGUGUCAAACAUAAUAAGUUGGGAUGAGGAAGAUGUACCUGAGACUACAUCAGAAAAAGAAUUAAACAAAGCUGAUUUUGAUAGUGAGUUGGAUUCAAGCAGUGAAGCAGUUGCCGAAGAAUGUAUUCAGCUUCUUUUCAGGGAUUUCAAGCGGCGGAGCAGUAAAGUUCAAAAGAUGAAGAGUGGGAGUGGGAUGCAUGAGACAACGGAGAGCAAUAAAGAUGAGGGGUCCCAAAGAAAGAGAAGACGACUGGUGCGGCCAUCCUUCAAUGAAGAGGAGCACCAAAGCAUGCAUACAGAGCAUAAGAGCGUACAGAUCUCUGCAGGAAUCAUUGAAAGUGUGCCUUUGGUUAAAGAGGAUGAGCUUAGGAAAGAUGAACAUUUUCAGACGGGAGAGGAGAACCAAAGCGUGCAUACGGAGCACAAGAGUGUACAGAUCUCUGCGGAAAUCAUUGAAACUGGCACUUUGAUUAAAGAGGAUGAGCUCACGAGAGAUGAACAUUUUCAGACUAAAGAGGAGCACCAAAGCAUGCAUACAGAGCACAAGAGUGUAGAGAUCUCUACAGAAAUCAUUGAAAGUGGCGCUUUGGUUAAAGAGGAUGAGCUCAUGAAAGAUGAACAUUUUCAGACUGAAAAUUCUUCAUCUGCUAACAUACCAGCCAACAAUUUGGAGAUUACAUCAAAAGAAUUGGAAACAUGCAAGAAUGAUGUAUCUGGUGGCAAUACAGAGAGGCUCUCGCUAGAACCCGGUGCUCAGCAUCCCACGAUCUCUGUUACUUUGUCUGUUGGAGGCACAGGAGCUGAUGCACCCAAAGUACGUAGCAGUUGGCAAUCUGUACUGCAAGGAGAAAGUGAUAUUUGUAGGGGAAGUAGUGAAAUGGAUCUAAAUGUAGCACCUACACUUGUUGCUGACGAUACCAGAAUUACUGAAUGAUCACUCCGCCGGCAAGCUCUUAGACUAUUGUUUUGUUUUGAAGGUUCUUUGCUUUAGCCUUCUACUAAUUCAUCUGCUUAUGGUAGCUGAGUAGGUUUGCAGAGUACAAUCUUCUGAAAAGACUUAGUAGCUAGAUGUGCAUAGAUCAUCCUAGUUUUUAAUUUGUUUCUUUCUUUUUCUUUUAGCUCUUUUGGAUUACACUUGGCUUUAUGGGAUGUUAGGAUGUUAUCUUAAUUCCUUCUGUUUUGGCUUUAUACACUUUGUAGCUACCUAUUAUUAUUGUAACAAGGCAAUACCGGAUCAAGCAAUCUAUAUACUAAUAGUAUUCUGUUCGUAAUCUGGAUGUUUCCUCUACGUUUUUUUUUUUAACAUAUUUAUCAUCAUUUGGGAACUUCCAUGCAUAUUUUACCCUUCUUUGUCCUUUGGCGUUCCUUUGGCGUUGUAGAUUUUGUAGAUGGAAAUUGUUGAAUUUGGGUCAUAAGACCCGAUUUAGCGUGGCCUUAUUUGGCCAAUCCGUCAUCCAUUGGACUCGGCGUAAUUGGAUGGAGGUUCUGUAUGUACCCGCUCCGUUAGAUUCAAUUUAGGUGGGAACGGUUAACGUAGAGUUGGAUGCACUCUAGCAAACUGCUAAUUAGUUAUUCUCGUGAUAGGAAAGGAGGAUUGGAUGACGCGCACGCACACAUGCGCAUAUAGUCCGAUGAGAGUGUCUCUAAUAGUGCUAAGCACUUAGUACUAUCAAUUUUUUCACACACAUAUGUACGCACUAAAGGUACGAAGCAUUUGGUGCCAUCAUUUUUUCGUCAUUAGAUCUACCAUUUUGGAUUAGUAGUAAGGAUGUCAACUGAGUAUGGAUACCUGAAAUAUUAUUCGAACUCGAAUCUGAACAGGACGAGUUUAACUAAACUAAACGGAUAUGAAUUUGGUUAUGCAUAUAGAAAAUAAAAACCCAACGGAUUCAGAUACGGGUAUAAACAAGUUUUGUAUGUACCCGGCCCGAACCCGAGCCUAAAUCCGGACCUGAAAAAGUUUUACAUUAUUUAUUAUUUAUACAGUAUAAAAAAAAGUACUCUAACAAUUUUUAAACAUUGGAUCUUCAUCCAAUGGUAAAAAAUAGUCAUUUUAUCAUCCAAAACCUAACAAGUCUCUUCUCCUAUAUUUUCUCUGCCGUCCUCGUUCGUCACUCCAUCCUCCUCAUUUUCUCGGUUUCUCCUAGUCCCACACAUGCGUCCAGCAUCCUCCUCCUCUAAGUCGUCUCCUCCUCCGCGAGUGGGGCUUUUUUUUCCAAUCUACCGGCUAGUCUGUGUACGAAUAGACUAGCGUCAUCCGCACUAACCCUGUUGCCAAGAUCUUCGUCGACCUUCAUCCGGCGUCCUUACAGUUACAAAGGGAGGAUAAUACUUUCUUGUUAUUUCUGACUAGAGAACAAUAUUUUUCUAAAACUUUCAUAAUGUUUCAGUAGUUACGAGGAUUAUUUAUCAAUAUAUUAAAAUUUUUCACGAGUACAAACACCACUUUGACUGUGUUUUGGUUUUAUUUGCACAAUCAUUAAAUUAUUCUCCUUGCUUGAUACUAUUUUUAUAUUUAUUACUCUCUUGAUGAUUAAUUAAUAGGUCAAAUUUUACAAACCAAAAGAAUAAAAAAUCUCUAAACAACCGACUAAUGAAAACUCUCAAUUUUCAUUGGCAUCACGUACAAUUAAUACAAAUGUAGGGUCAAAUCCAUCCCAGGGUGAUGAUGAAGAAACUAAUGAAGUGACGAAAAGAAAAGCAACUUCCUAGGCAUGUAAUCACUUUAUGUUGGCAUUCGGUUAAAUCGAAUCGGGUACGCCCAUAAGCGGGUUCGAUCCGACGGAUAUUAUGUUAUCUAAUUGGAUUGGAAUUAAUCUCGCUUUCAAAUUGGAAAGCUAGUUAGAGAUAAAUCCUAGUCAUAUUAGAAUAACAAUUAAUAACCGAUUUGGCCUUAUCUCUAACACUAUUAGGAUUUUGGAAUCCCUUAUAAAUAUGCGGGUGAUCCCACAGAACAAAAUGUACAAGAAGCAUACCAAACGCACUAUAUAUAUAUAUAUAUAUAUAUAUAUAUAUAUAUAUAUAUAUAAAGAGAGAGAGAGAGAGAGAGAGUCCGGCUAUUAUACUCUUAUGAGUACGAUCGUCUUUGAUGAUAGAUCAUGUUUCAAAUACUCUAGAUCAUAUUUAAUAGUAUGGAUCGUCGAUUCGGAAGCUCCAUUAUCGAAAAUAGCUUAUAAGUACAAGGAGCUCUAUACUCAUAAGAGUAUAGUACCCCUAUUCUAUGUAUAUAUAGAGAGAGAGAGUAAGGCAGAUGUCCUAUUAGGAGCACAGCAGCCCUUAUACUCCUAACUUUCUAACCAUCCAUUAAUUUUGAUGGGUGGUUAGGAUGUGAGAGAGAAAAAAAAGAGAAAAAAUUGUGUAUCUCAAUUUCUCUUCUCUUUGAAUUUUUCUUUAAUUUCUCUUUUCUCUCGUGUCCUAACCACCUAUUGAUGUAUGGUUAGGAAGUUAGGAGCACAAGAGCUGUUGUGCUCCUAAUAACAUAAUAGCCCUACUAUAUAUAUAUAUAUAUAUAUAGAAUUGAGCUCCUAUGUUUUUAAAAGUACCAAGUCAUUGGUGCUUGUAAGUUUUUGGCCCUUGGAUUAAGAGAUGUGCGGUUAGGAUGAUGUGGGCCCCCUAGGGUUGAGUGGGUGGUUGGUUGAAUAGUAUAAUCUAACGGAUAAAAAUGAUCAAAGACAGAGAUCUAACGGUAAAAAAUUUACAAGCACCAAGUGCUUGGUGCUUUUACAAGCACCAUAGCCGGACUCUAUAUAUAUAUAUAUAUAUGGACAGAAAUUGAAAGACGGAAUUGUCGAUGGAAUAAAAGAAUAUUUAUACAUAUUAUAAAAAUAAAUAAAUAAUUAUAAUUAACAAACUAAAAACAAAUCAAAACAAAUCAAAUUUGGAAAAUAAAUUAAUUAAAAAAUAGACUCAUGCCAUCAAUAACUAUUUAAAUUUAAAAUACUUAAAUACUCGUAAUAAACAAUCUUAUAAUUGAAUUCUAAAUUUAUAAUUGAAUUCUAAAUUUAAAUUAUUAGCUUUUUAUUAAUUUAUUUUAUACUAUUGGAUGAUAUACUAUCAAAAGAAUAAAUUUAAAAUCAUAAAUUUUGGACGUUUGUAUCUUAUAAAUAAAAUAUUAUUGGACUUUUUUUUGCAUUUGGCCUCAAAAAAAUUAUUUUCACAAAUAGCCACACCAAAUUUAUAAUUGCAAUUUUGGGCCUAUCCCUGCCAUGUAGGCGCCACAUCAGUGCCACGCGAGCAGGCUGGGAGGAGUUGGAAUAAGUUGAACACGGCAAUGCAUUCACCGUGUCCAAACACGGUGAAUGGUUCACCGUGUUUAGAUAUGGUGAAUGAAUUAUCAUGUUUAGACACGGUAAAUGAUUCACCGUGUCCAUACACGGUGAACCAUUCACCGUAUUCUCUUCGUAUUAUACACCCAACCCUGUCCGAGCUGUCUUCCCCAUACCCUCUCUCGCUCUAUCUUCCUCUCUCUCUCUCUCUCUCUCUCUCUCUCUCUCUCUCUCUCUCUCUUUCCUUGUCGUAUCAUGCUUCAUAUAUUCAGCGUUGGGAUGAUAAAUUGAUGAACUUGGGAUGAUAGAUUGAUGAAUAUAGUAGAGGUGGACCCUAAAAUAGAUCCAAAUCCUAUACGAGCUACCACUGUUUACAUGUAGUGGUAUUGGAGCAUCACUAGGAGGUAGAUAUCUAGACUAGUACAGCGCCCACCCAUCACGUAUCAGUUACGUGGAUAUGUCGAGAGAGUAUUUGUAUGAUUUUAAUAUAUAAUAUCUCUUUAUAUUUAUUUUUAUAUAUAAAGAAAGUUUAAUGGAAUUUUUAUUAUAGUACUUUUAUUUCAGGUCGAUGUCAUGUAGAGAUCACAUUAUACGAUUAGGCGUGUCCUGCUAAAUAUUCCGUAUGGCGGAGUACUAGAAGCCCUAUCACAAGUUGCCGAUCAAAUGGAAGCAAUUUUGGAGACUCUACCUCCACGGCUAGCAGAACAUGGUGAACCAUUGAUGUCGGCCCAUGUACCACUAUAUAGUCCGCCGAGGUCAUCUUCACCGAUAGAGAAGCCACCUUAUCAUCGAAACACAGUACUAGUACCAGUAAUAGAGGAUUCUUCUCGACCAAUCGAUAGUGUUUAUCGUAGGCGCCGACAGCAGUUGCAGUCUCUCCACAUAGAUCAGCCCUUAUUUUCAGCUCCUCCACGGCCAGACAUACUACCGACAUCUGCUAUAGUUGAGCACGAGAUCAGACGGGUGAUCGAAAUGCAGAGCACUCAGCCAGUUGUUGAGGGUGUUGUUAUCGAACAUCUCGACCAGUUGGAAGUCAUAGAGCCCUUUGAUGAGUAUGGUGUUAAUCGUGGUCGCGGUCGUGGUAGGGAACGUUUAGGUAAACGUGGUCGAGGGACUAAGAGGACAACAUGACAUUAUAUUUUUGUAAAUUUUAAAUUGCACAGGACUUUCUAUAUUAUUGAAAACCUUGCUCUAUUUUUUUAUAUUUUGUUGUGAUGAUAUGGUAUCGAUGCUCUAUUAAUAUUGUGUUGUUGUGUUGGAUUUGUUGUUGUGCUGUUGAUGUUGAAUUUGUUGUGUUGUUGUGCUGAAAUUUACAAGUGUACUGCAGUCCUACUGAAUACGGUGAACCAUUCACCGUGUCUAAACACUGUAAACGAUUCACCGUGUUCAAACGUGGUGAACCAUUCACCGUGUCUAAACACAGUAAACAAUUCACCGUGUUCAAACACGGUGAAUGGUUCUCCGUGUUUAGUGUAUUAUCUGCCAUCAGGGAAUAUCAGUGAACCAUUCACCGUGUUUGGACACGGUGAAUGUGUGAUAUAUUGAACCUUAGCAAAUUGGCAAAGUUACAGUAUAAAUUUAUGCUUGAUUGAGUUGGAGACGUUUUGCACAAAAUAGACGUCAAAACGGACUUUGAAACUCAAGAUUUAAUUAUUUUGGACUAAAGAUGAAUACAUACAGUAUUUUUGCAUUUAAGUAGGUAGAGCCACGAAGCUUCUAUGAUCCUUAUCAUUACAUAAGGUAGUGAGAGAAAGAGCUUGGUCGAGGAAAAAAAAAGAGAAGAGAAAAGGUUUGGUUUCAUUCUAGCGAGCGAGCGAGUCGAGCUCGCGCACAUGAACUUUUUGGUGUUUCGACGUGGCGGUUAAUCUCACAAUAUUAUUAUUUCUCCUGUUAAUUGUAAGAAAGUGAAUUCUGGAAAUCCGAGAGUUGGACUUCGCUCAGAAUUGACUAAUUGUCGAGUGGGUAUGCUUCGGAAAAGCCGAAGAAGUUGGAAACCCAAAAAGUGCAAUGGCGAGGGCCUCGAAGAGCAAAAGAAUUGAAAUCUGCAAUUUUGCAGAUUUUGCUCUCGGGGACCGGUCCCUGGUGGGAGAGACCGGUCCCUGUAAGCUGAAAGUGCAGCAGGAAACUCUGCCCGCGAUGUUUGCUCUCGGGGUCCGGUCCCUCAGGCGGGGACCGGUCCUUGAAGGUCCGGUCCCUCAGGCAAGGACCGGUCCCCGUACGCGUAGAAGCUGGCUGAGAGCCUCUGCCCUCAAGGGUUGCUCUCGGGGACUGGUCCCUCUAGGGACAGAUCAGUCCCCGAGCACGAAAAUUGCCGAGUAUGGACUGUGUGAGGGAAGCAAAGCGGAGGGGUUAUUAUGCAAUUAUUGCAUUAGUGAAGGGUAUAGAGGGGAGAUCACUCUCUCCCUCUCUCAUUUUCACCCAACACACUCUCCCCCCUCUCUCUCUCUCUCUCUCUCUCUCUGUGUAAACACACUCUCUCUCUUUUGAAGUGAAGAAGGAGAAGAAGGAAAGGAAGGAGAAUAAGGAGAAGCAAGCUAGAGAAAGGCUUUGGUCAUCUUCUUCUUCCUCUCCUCACUAUUGGAGCAAGCUUAGAGGUAAGCUUCUAGACCCAACAAUGGUAGAAACCUAGGGUUUGGAUUGUUAGCUCUAGAAUGGGUUUGAUUAGUGUUUUAGCAUGUUUAAUAGAUGCUUAAUGCUAGAAUCUAGAGUUUUGUCGGAGUAUUUUGCAUAGAUGCAAACCUAGGGCUCCAAAUUGGGGUUUUGUUAAAUAGUGAGGUUUGAUCUCAAUUGAUGGCAUCUAAACCUAAUUGCUAGGUGUCUAAACGCGUUGGCGAAGGCGGAUUGACGAUUCGUCGAGUCAUUAAAAAGAUAUCGGCAAAACAAGACCGAUUGGGCUUCGUUUCCGCCUCGGAGGCCGAAACGACAUCGUAGCAAGUGCCGAGUAGCGUUCUUAGAGCUUCGACAUCGUCAAAAGGUGGGUGGUGUCAUCCCGAAGCAACCCGGUUCCUCUUUAUGUCUUAGCACACCAUGAUUUUGCAUCUCUUGCAUGUUGCAUUGUAGGAUUGCAUAGUAGCUCCAUUCCUUAUGCUUUCUGAUUGAUAUCAUAGUGUGAGUUGAAUGCUUGGUAUAAUGGAUAGAUAAGGAUUGAGUCUUGACAUUGAAUCCUAUAGUGCCGAGGAAAAGAGAUGGACUUGAUGGUUACCUAGUGACAUAAUGAGUGGCACAUGAUUGAUAAAUGAAUAGAACGAGUGGUAUAACUUAGUGUAAAAUGACGCUAGUGGGUUGUGAAUUUAGGGAUAGGUGGAUUCUCUAGUGAUGACUCGUUGAACAAGAACAUAGUGUAGUUAAAUAUUUACACAUGGACAUUGGGAUAGACGGAUUCUCGAGUGACUAUUAGCCCUAGUUGAUAAGGUAUCCUCGAGUUGAGAGGAUCGGAUUAUACUCACAGUCCGUUUAUACUUGUUGUAACAAUGUGAACUCUCGAAAUCCGAGGGUUGCACCUUGUCUAGAAUCGACUAAGGGUCGAAUGGAUAAGCUUUGGAAAAGCUAAGGAUGCACGAAAUCCGAGAAGUGCAUUGGAAUGGAUGUCGCGAGAAGUAAAUAACUGCAUAGCAUUUUGGGCUGAAGUUGCUCUCGGGACCGAAUUCUUGGAGGAGUGAGAGACCGUCCCAUACAGCUGAAGGCUGUGCGGGUUGCUGAUGCAACCGGUCCUUGAGGAGCAGGACGCGCCCAGCCUUGCAGACACAGUGAGCAGAGCCGAAAAUUCGCUAAGUCCAAGAGUUUAGCUCGUCGGGAACGGUUCUCUCUGGAAGGAACGGUUCUCCGAGACCGAGUCUCUCGGAAGGGACCGGUUCCCGAACGCGUGGUCCGCGGGAGAAGCCCCGGGGACCGCGUCCCUGAUCGGGGGAGACCGGCCCUCGCGCGCAGAACGCCCAGUAAGGGACACUGUGUAAGAGACGAAAAGUUGAGGGGGCGCCUUUGGGAUAUAUGAUACAAAAUGAGACGAGGUAUUAGAGCAGAUUUUCCUCUCUUCUCAUCUCCUCACUCCCCAGUCCUCUCUCUCUCUCUCUCCCUACUGAUCGUGCGAAGGGGGAGAAGAAAGGAAAGAAAAGAGAAAGGAGAAGGAAGAAGAAAAAGGGAAAGGAAGGAAGGAGAAGGAGAGGACAAGGAGCGAGAGUCCUCUUCCCUCAUCUUCAUCUUAUCUUCUUUCUUCAUUUUGGACCUCUCCAAAGCAGCGUAAGUUCAUGGCUUCUGUAAUAGUUUCUUGUAGAUGGGCUUAUAAACCUAGAAAUGAGUUUUAGAGGACCCUAGCAAUGCCUCUAGAAUGAUUUCACCCCAUUCAUAGAUCGAUUUGGUGGUUUUGAUGGAUUGAGGGAUUCUAGGCGCAUCAUGGCGGCGUUUUAUUGUAAUAGAUGACGCUCUCUCCGCACUCCUCAUUUUGACCCUUUGUGCGAAACCUAAUUGUAGGUAACGAAACACAAGUGGUUCGCGAGUCGUUUCGGCAAUCGACAAGCCGUUUGAAGCAUUUAUUUGAAGAAGCGGGCGACUCGGAGUCUUCAUUUCCGCCUGCGGAGGCGUGGCAACGUCCAUAAAUGUGGAAAUCGGGUAUCCGAGCACCGUAGCGGCUGAGACGAAGAUUCGCCUGGCACUCUUGAAAGGUGAAGCGGCCGCUCCGACGGAACGCAACUCGUGACGAUCGGGCCCAAGCGGGUGCCGAGUGCCGCGGCUGUGGCCGAUUCGCAAGUGUGCGACAAGCAAUCGGCGAAAAAGCUAUUUCCUAAGGUGGUGUUGUGCUUUACCUGAAGCGACUAGCGUCGCCUUCUAUCUAAACCACAAAGCCAAAAACAAAAAAUCACCAAGCGUUUAAGAAACCAUAUACGAAUUCACCAUCUGACUGCAUAUAGUUGCAUUGGUAGGCUUACAUCGAUACAUAUGACAUGCUUGAAACAUAUUUAUGUAUUCUUGCAUAUUACCCUACCAUGAGAUGAACAUGUAUACAUGAAUUAAAUGCUAAAAGAAUGCAUGAGAUGCUAAGCUAUAGAUACGUUGAUGAUGCAUAAUUAUGUUAUAGUCUGCACUAUCAUGUGAUGCUAGUCAAUAUAUUGCCAUGAUGACUGUUUGACAUUAACAUUGUGGAUGUUAUGUACCAUAGAACAUAUACAUCGAGACAUAUACUUGCAUCCAUGAUAGAAGAAUUAGCGUAUUACUGUCUGCCAUAUCUGCUGGAAACAUAGUAGAAUGAAACUUAUGCAUGUGACUUGGCCCGAUUACGAGAUCAUUGCAUUGGAAAACACCAAACACACCUCGAGCUGGCUUAUGUUAGUCGUAUUUGACACUAGAGGUUGAGACUAGGAUAGGUGAAUCCUCUCAGAAAAAUGCCUUGUGGAUAAAGAACUUAGUAACCUAAGUACCCUCAUCAUUGACGAGCGUUGUCGAUGAGUAUUAGAGAAGCUUAACCUCUACGUCUGUAGAGCACCUCCUCACUUUAGAGGGAUCUUUAUUGGUGUUGACCUCUAGUUGAUAGAGAUCCUCACCUUGACGAGGAUGAUUGGUGUGACCGGAUUGUAGGCGCAUCUCCACUUCGGACGAGGAUAGAUCUAGCUCACCAUGCUCGCGUUGGAUCAGUCAUUAGCCAUCAGCCCCACAUGGAGGAAUUUCGAUCGAGUAUUCCGGAGUGUCGGCGACUAGGACCACUUGGCAGGUCCGCACACAUGAGUCCGCAGACGGUCCCGGCUUUUGCGGCCACUUGAGCUCCCGCCCACUUUGGGAUUGAAAGGUGACGUUAUUGGCCAACCUAGGGCUUAUCGAUACAGAUUGGGUAAAAGCAAGCUGAACAACUGCCACUUGGAACAUUAUUAUAUCGAACACUGGAUUCGAAUUUGUUAGCAUGAAGUAAACCUUUACUAUUUGAGCAUCGAUAUGAUUAGUUUGCAUCCUAGUUGACGGGCAUUUAGCGGCGAGGUGCAUGUGAGACCAUCCUUCACCUUGAUACCUGGCCUUAUGCUGCAGUAUUCCGCGUAUGAUUGACUCAAAACCGGGUCGAGUGGAUAGCAAUUAUGAAAGCAGCGAUAACCUUCAUGAGCCAGAAUUGUAACUUGACAAGAAUCUGAAGCAUAGAGCGAAAACUUAGAAUCAAUUGUUGAACUGUUGAAUAACAGGAUAAAGUAGUAUCGAUUGAAUACUAGUUGGUUGCAUUGCGUUGCAUAAACUGCAUGAAUUUCAUACUUGCAUUUUGUGAGGCACAACCAUGUAUUUCAUACAUUUGAAUAUAUCUAUAGAUGUUUUUGGACUAACAUGAUUGCAGUGCCUCCUUGGACCUUUUGGUCGAGCUUUUCCCUUGGGUGGCCGUACCCACUGGGAACCAUGGAGUUGGUUCUCACCCCACGUUGUUUUGGGGUUUUCAGGUCGUUCGUGUGCGGCGCGGCGGCGCAAGGAAAGGGCGUAGAUCCAUAGAUAGCGCCCUACCCAGAGACCAGAGCUAGCAGUACCCCGUCGACAUAGCUUGGGGGUAUGGGGAAAUGAAAAGAACACAAUGUAUCAAAAAUGUAUGAAAGCGAAUGUAUGUAAUAACAUAGGAUGUGUUAUGUUGUUGAUACCUUCCUUAUGCAAUCUGUUUGUUAAAUACUGUUCCUGAUUGGAACCUUUGUGUUGUAUUGAUUGCGAUGCCUUGAAUGUACAGGGGAGACUCUGUCCGUAGUACAGGGGAAACCCUGUCCAUUCGGCGCUGUCGGCGCCGCGACCUCGGCCAAAUAGGCGGGUCGUCGCGGGUCGUGACAGAAGAUGGUUUCAGAGCAUAAACUAGAAAAUGGGAAAAUGGUUUAGAUGACCUAGGAGACCCUAGGAUAGUGAAACCAUAGGAGAAUAAGGCUCGUGAGAGACGAGAACUUGUGAUUCGUGGCGAAAGGUAAUGGAUUGGGUUGUGUCGUAACCUCUAAGACGGAUAUUAGAGGUAGAGUCAAGGUAUGGUUUAUUCUCGACCGAGUGUGUUUAUGUUGGGCGCGCACAACAGAAAGCCGAGAGACGAGAAUAGACGUCCUUGUUUGACUUUCGCCUGAUUGGCUUUUGAGCCGGUGUUAAUGGUCACGUGUUCGACCCGAGUCGGUCGAGAACUAAUCGGGUUGUCCUGUUUCAGGAAGCGAUGGCACCGCGUAGGCAAUCUUCAUCCAGAUCGGCGCGGGAGGGGGUAAGUAGUGUCCCUGAGCAAGUUGAUGCGAGCGAAGACUCGGAGCUUCACGAUCAAUUGGCCACACUCAUUGGAGUGAUGCGGCAACAAGCUAAUGUGGUGCAACGGCAGUAGGAGGCUGCUAUGCGCUAAGAGGGGCGAAUGGAACGACUCCAAGAGACUGUGGAUCGGCUGAUAGCAGCACCAGCUGCGGCUAGUCGAGGACAGCCGGGAGUUGCGGCAGAGAUGUUUCCGUCGGGGUCGGGCGACCCGACCCUUGUUAGCCCAGAGGUUACGGCGGAAAGGGAGCGGGCUUUGGCGGCCCUCAUGACUUUCAAGAAAUUUGAUCCGCCAACCUUUGAUGGAGAAGAUACGGAUCCGUGGGUCGUUGAGAUGUGGAUCGAUUCCAUGGAAACCCUCUUCGAGGAUCUGUACACGUUGGAGCGAGACAAGGUAAACCUAGCCGCGCAUUACCUCAAACAGUCGGUGAAGGUGUGGUGGAAAGGCGUCAAGCGAGAUCGACCGCCUAGUCUCCCUCCUAUGACAUGGGAAGAGUUUCGGGAAAUGAUAUUCUCUGCAUAUUUUCCCAGUAGUGAGAAGCGGAAACUUAAGGAUAGGUAUCUUAAGCUGCGGUAGGGAAGUCGCACGGUUAGACAAUACGAGCGGGAAUUUUCCCGUAUCGUGCAUUGUGUCCCGGACGUGGUGCGGGAUGACGAGGACAAGGCUGAUUGCUUCGUGCGGGAGCUUCGGCCAGACUUGUACCUGGCAGUGCAGGUACUUAAGUUACAGACUUUCGCUGAAGUCUUGGAUCGGGCCUUGUGGAUAGAACAAGGUAAUGCAUUCCUGCGGGAGAAGCGCGAGGAGCAUUACAAGGAAAAGGGAAAGGGACGGCCAGUAAGUGGACAUGAUGGUCAGUCGAGUUCCCAGCAGACCUUAGUGAGGACGCGCUCUCGAUCUAGAGCUCUGGGGACGUAUCACAUUCGGUCCUCGGCGAGAUGUGCAAUCUGUGGAGGCCCUCAUUUUCCACAGCAAUGUGAGCAGCGCGAGGGCAAAUGCUUCAAGUGUGGGCUGCCGGGCCAUGUGCGUGACGAGUGUCCGCAGGGUGAUAACCGGGCCCUGACACUCGCGACGGCCUGUUCUUCUUUGGGACAACCGGCGGGUGUGCCACCUGCGGCAUGGUCGGGAGAGCAGCCGUUGAGGACAUUGCAACCGGAGGGUUCGCGACGAGCGCCAAGUGGCCAUGAAUAAGCGACCCGAGUUGUGGUGCCUGCCGUUGCCGACGACGUCGUGGCAGGUAUGAGUUAAUUAAAGCAAGCCUAUGCUACUAUUUGAUAUCAGAUUGAUGCAUAGCAUGCGUUUAUCAUGGGUCAAUUACUACUAUUUAUACAUUGCAUAGUAGGGACCAAGGGGACAGGUAGAGGUAGACACCCGAGCAUGCUUAUGCGGUGAGAAUGUGGCGCCUGCUGGGGCAGGUAGAGAGCCAAGUGGUACUGGCAAAUGGCUAGUAAGGGUUCUUGGACGAGGAUAGGACUCGUGGCAAAUGUGAUCUAGUAAGUGACUCUCGAAGCAAUGGAUAAGAGAUUGUGAGAGUUGAGCCUUGACGUUUGGGACACCCGAAAAUCCCAAGAGUCGUUCGGGUGCGGAUUCGAUAGAUCGAACAGCGGGGAUGAACUACUGCUGUGAAAUUGGUCGAUUAGCGCCGAGUUUGGCCUGUAGGCCUAGUAGUAACUCGAAUUGAGGUGGACGAGUUAUUGCUCGUGUGGCCGGUGCGCAUAGGCUAAGUUGCCUGAUGCGAGACUUCGUGUGAGACGCGAUAGAGGUGUAGAGCGCUCGAGUACAGUUACUCGUGAGGUGCGGCUUCGAUGCAGCCGGUCGAGUGAAUUGGCAGUAGCACUUCAGCAGGGCUAAGUGUGAAGCGAGCCAUGGAUCACUCGUGAGGGCUGGUGAUUCGCACUAGGUGCCUAAGAGCCGCUAUAGUUGAUAGCUCCUGGUUGGAGUGUGUGCGAGUUCUCCAAUGAGAAUGUCGCCCAAUGAUGAUUGGGUCUAUACUUGUGAGCGAGAGACGCUAGACGUCAUUGAGUUGAGCUAGGUGAUUGACCUACGCAGGAUUGGUGGCCUUAGUCCGCCUGAGGAAACCGAUGGUCGGUAUAGCCGAAAACUCUAAUAGUGAGUUGGGCUUAGGUUCGCGAAUGGAGGAUUCGUGUGGUGGUUGAACGUGGCCUAAAAUGUCAAGAGAAAGUAAAGUGGUCUCUAGGAGACACUUGAAUAAUAGAUAACCACGCAAAGAGUUGGUGUUGAGAAUGAUGCUUUCAAGAGGAUUGAGAAUCCAAGGUGCACGAGAGGAUGCCAUCUCAUGAUAGGUGGGAAUGAGAUGGUUCAGAUAAGAUGAUAAGGUGGUAUCGGGCUCCUAAAUAGCCAACGUGGUGAAGUGCCACCGAGUGGGUACUUGAGCAAUUCGAGAAAGCCUACCCGUGCAUAUAGAAAUGGGGUGGUGGAUCAUUUAUUGAAGUGAUGCGAUCUUGCUGGAUCCACACCACCGGGAUGAAAGGGUAGCCCUGAUCUCGAACGUUGGUGAUGUUCGCUAGAACCGCGAGGGAAUAGGUCCUCUUCAGCCGAGUGGCUGGUAAAGAUAGGGUGUGUAUGGGGUCUUGAAUAUUGACCCACACCGCCGGUGAGGUUUGUAAAGCGGUAAUACACCUUCGAUGUUGUAAGUGGAAAAUGUGAGUAAACGUGGUCUCACAUUUUUCGUAGUGGGCCUUUAAAUGAGUUCGAUGAGAAUAAAGGCCACUCCGAAGUACAAAAGUGCAUUGGAACCCUUGAGUACUCAAUGAGUGGAUCGAGGAAUAAAGAGGGUAGGAAUGAGUGAGUUUCGAGGACGAAACUCUUUUAAGGAGGGGAGAAUGUAACAAUGUGAACUCUCAAAAUCCGAGGGUUGCACCUUGUCUAGAAUCGACUAAGGGUCGAAUGGAUAAGCUUUGGAAAAGCUAAGGAUGCACGAAAUCCGAGAAGUGCAUUGGAAUGGAGUCUGCGAGAGCAAAUAAUGUAAUCAGCAUUUUUGGGCUGAAGUUGCUCUCGGGGACCGGUCUCUGGAGGUGAGAGACCGGUCCCAUCAGCUGAAGGCUGUGGGGUUGCUGAUGCAACCGGUCCCUGGCAGGAGGAGGGACCGGUCCCAGCCUGCGACACCAGUGAAGAGAGCCGAAAAUCGGCUAAGUCCCAAAAGUUUAGCUCUCGGGAACCGGUCUCUCUGAGAGGAACCGGUCUCCCGAGGACCGGUCUCUCAGGAAGGGACCGGUUCUCGAAUGCGUGUCCGCGGGAGAAGGCCCCGGGGACCGUUCCCUGGUCAGGGAGACCGGUCCCUCCGCGCGCAGAACGCCUAGUAAGGGCUGUGUAAGAGACGAAAAGUUGAGGGGCCUUUGGGGAUAUUGUUACAAAAUGAGAGAGGGUAUUAGAGAGACCUUUUCCUCUCUCUCUCUCUCUCACUCCCUCAGUCUCUCUCUCUCUCUCUCUCUCUCCCUCUGAUCGUGCGAAGGGGGAAAGGAAGAAAGGAAAGAAAAGAGAAAGGAGAAGAGAAGAAGAAAAAGGGAAAGGAAAGGAAGAGAGACAAGGAGAGAUCCUCUUCUCUCAUCUUCAUACUUCCUCUUCUCUCAUCUUUGAGACUCUCUCAAGAGGUACAGUUUCAUGCUUCUUGUAAUAGAUCCUUGAAGAUGGGUUAUAAAACCUCUAAGAACAAUGGAUUUAGAGAACCGACUAGCAGCCUCUAGAAGAUGAUUUCACCCUUCCAUUUCAUAGAUCGAUUUGGUGGUUUGAUGUUUAGGCAUUCAUAGGGUCAUCCAUGGGGAUUUUUUUUUGUAAAAGAUGAGUUUGAUCUCAUUUGACCUCUUGUAAACCUAAUUGAAGGUAACGAAACACGUUCGCGGGAAGUCGUUCGGCAGAUCCGACAAGCCGUUGCGAAGAUAUGUGAAAAGGCGGAGCGCUCGGCAGUUCAUCCGCGCGGGGAGCCGAUGGAUCCCAAAUCGUCGAAAUCGGUCCCAGAGCACCGUCGGCGAGGGCCAAGAUCGCUGCACUUGAAAUGUGCAGGCGGCGCGCUCGAGGUAGCAACUGUGAACGGCCCAACGGUUGCCGAGUGGCCGCGGAGGCCGAUUUCAAGUUGUCCGACACAUUCGGUAAAAGCUAUCUAAGGUGGUUUGCUUACCGAAGGACUAGGUCGGCCCUUAUAUUUUAGAAAUCAUACGAAUUCACAAUUGAAUGCAUAUAAGUGCAUUGGUAGCUUACAUGAUAAUAUGAAUGCUUAAACAUAUUAUGUAGUUUGAAUAUUCACCUACCAUGAGAGAAAUGUAUAAUGAAAUUAAACUACAAAAACAAUGCAUGAAAUACAAGUAUAGAUACUUUGGAUAUGACUUAUAUGUAUGUGACAUACUCUUUGAUGCUAGUAACAAUAUAUGGGUGCAUAUGACAUGUUGUGAAAUUAAAUAUUGUGGAUUAUGUUAAAUAGAACAUAUCCAUGAUGACAUAUAUGCAUAUGAUGAAAAAGUUAUUGCAUGUUGCCAUAUUGUGGACAAUAGUAAUGAAUUAUGCAAUGUUAACUUGGAUUAGAGAAAUUGACAUUGAGAAACAAAGAGCAUCGAGUGCAUUAAAUGUAUUGUAUUGACACUAGUAGGUUUUGAGAACCUAGGAUAGGUGAAUCCCUUAAAAAGCUUGUGAUAAAGAACUUAGUAAAGAGUACCGUCAUUCUGGAGAGGAUGUUGUGCGAUGAGUGUAUCUGAGAACAUUGACUCGUAUUGUAGAGAUCCCUCACUUGGAGAGGAUUUGAUUGGGUUUGUUGACUCUAGUUGUAGCAUCCGUCAACUGAGAGGGAUUGAUUGGUUUUUGUUUUACCUAGUUGUAGAGCAAUCGGGAGAGAGAGAGAGACCUCCCAGUCUGCGUUUGGGGAUGACCAGCCAUCCAACCCUCACAUGGAGGAGUGCGUGCGGAAGCUACUACGUCGCGGAGUGUCGUCGAACUAGACCACUUGGAGUCCCACCACAUGACGGUCCCAGACACGGUUCCGGGCUUGAGGUGCACUUGAGUCCUCCGCCCACUUUGGGAUUGAAUAGGUGAGUUAUUGGCGAACGCCAUAGGCUUCGCUACAGAUUGGUAGAAGAGCAGUUAACACUGCCAUUGACAUUAUUAAUUCGAACAUGAGUCGAAUUGAGAUGAUAUAAACCUUUACUAUUUGAUGGCAUGAAUGGUUUUAAGUUCAUCCGCCAGUUGAUGGAUUUCGCCGAGCGUGCAUCGUGAGACACUUUCACCUUGCCUGGCUUUGUGCGUAUUCCGCUAUGUAUUGACUCAACGAACGGAUCGAGUGGAUAGCUUUAAAUGAAAGCAGAUAACCUUAUAGCCAGAAUUGUAAUUGACAAAGCAAUCUAACAUAGAGGAAAACUUAGAAGUCAAUUGGUGAACUGUGAAUAAGCAGGAAUAAAAUAGUAAUCGAUUGAACUAACUAAGUGGUGGUUCGAUGGUUGCAUAAACUGGCAUGAAGUUCAUAUUGCAACUUUUGUGAGGGAGCAACAUGUAUUUCAUACUUGAAUAUAUAUAACGUGUUGGAUAUCUUUGGACUAACAUGUUGCACGGCCUCCUUAGACUAUUGGUCGAUAGGCUUUUCCCCUUGGGUGGAGCCGUUACCACUUGGAAACAUUGGAGUUGGUUCUCACCCCGACGUUGUUUUGGGGUUUUCAGUCGUUCGUGGUGCGUUGCGCGCGGCGCAAGGAAGGGUGAUCCAGAGAUAGCGCCCUACCCAGAGACCCAGAAGCUAGCAGUACCUCGUCGAAAUAGCUGGUAGGGAAAGAAAAAGAACAGGCAAUGUAAUCAAAAAUGAUGAAAGCGAAUGUAAUGUAAUAAACAUAGAUGUGUUAUGUUGUUGAUACCUUCCUUCAUGCAACUUUGUUAAAUACCGUCCUAGAUUGAACCUUUUUUGAUUGAUUGCGAUGCUGAAUGCUACAGGGAAGACUCUGUCCGUAAUACAGGGGAACCCUCCUAUCGGCGCUAUCGCGCCNNNNNNNNNNNNNNNNNNNNNNNNNUUGACUGAGAGACCGGUCCCCGAAGGUCCAGAAAUCAGCCUUCAAGGACUUAGCCAAAUUUUCAGCUUUUUCACCGUUUUCGCUCCGUUUUCACUCGUUUUCGCUCGUUUGACAUCCGAUUCAUUUGAAAUCGAACCGAGACUCUCCAAACAUGUUUUCAAGCAUGUUUUCAUCAUCUUUUCAUCCACGCUAACGCCGGAUUUAGUCCAUGGUCCAACAUAGCCUUUCGGGUCCCGUUCUCGCGCCCUAUGCGCACCGAAGCACCCGAAUGCUCCCGAACUUCGCCGGAACGAUUCCAAUGGCUUUCUAAGCUAACAUACAUCGUAACUUCAUGAAUUAGAAGUUCGGUAUAUUACAGCUUUCUUACUAUGUCACUUACAGUUUUCAUAUCUAUCUACCUAUCUAUCUGCUUUUGCCCACUCAAACCUAGUGGGGAGAUCAGCGGAGUCGGCAGCCGAACCCACUGGAAACUAUGGACAAUAGUUCUCACCCCACUUUGUUGUAGGGCCUAGUUCGAGUGCGCCGGGUGAGGACCGUGGCAAGGGUAUAGCGCCCGAGCAGUAGUUACAUAGUAGCUUUCCUUUUUGCAUUAGUAUCACCUUAUGUAUAUGAGUGACUUAUGUUGGUGAGGAUGUGGAGAGCUAUGUAUGUAUUUUGAUGAUGACCUAGUAGCAAUUGUAUUCAUUUUGGAAAAGAUGUAAAUGUAACUUGAUGUAAAUGAAUGCAAUGUGAUAUAAUAGCUAGUAGAUCUCUCUUUUGUUCACUUGUAUGCGCAUGUGACUCUUGCUCUUGGUUGUUGGCACUUGUUGUGCCCUUCGUUUAUUGUGUAUGUAUAGAAUUUCAUUCCUGGGCAAAUUCUUGUACAUGAUCUAGUUAUUUAGCCUUGGGCAGACAGAGGAGGUGCUAUCCGUUCCGCGUCUGUUCGACGCGCCCGAACCGGACCAAAUUGGUAGCGGUCUCGGGGCGUGACAGAUAGAGAUGGUAUCAAAGCGGUUAAGAGCAAGUAAAGAGAAAGUCUAGGAUCGACCUAGGAGACCCUAAGACGGUGAACCUUAAGGAUAUAGGUGCGUGAGUGGAACGUGGACCUAUAACGGUGGCGGAAGUGAUUCGAUUGGGUCGGAAUGGAGUUUAUGUCUCUAGUAGUUGCUAGAGAUGUAUUCAAGUGGUAUUAGUUCUUGACUUUAGGUGGUUGUGUUGGCGGCCGACAACAUGACGCCAAGGGUCUCGAACAAGUACGCUUGUGUGCUUCCACCCAAUUUCGUUAUUGAUUUGUGACGUGUCGUAGUCGCGACGAAGUAAAUAGGUUAGGAUGAUUAACCAAGUAUUUGCGUUUCAGGAGCUAAUGGCACCGAAGAGACACUACACGCGCAGGUCGGUUCCGGCACCGCCUCUUGAGGUGCCAGAGCAAGUUGGACCUCCCAGGGUGCCCGAGCCUCCUGUGGUGCCCAAACAAGCGGGGUCUAGCGAAGUGCAAGAGUUAUGAGCGCAAGUGACUGCACUGGUUGGUGUAGUGCAGCGCCAAGAAAGCCGAUUCGAGCAGCUCCAAGAGUUGAUGGAGCGGCAAGUGGCGGCAGCUGCUGUAACGACGACAGAUGGUCGUGAUCUAGCCGCACCCUCGGCGCGUGUGCCUGAAGCAGCGGAGGGUGAGGGUAUAGCGGCGGUCCCGGUGGCGGCACGUCGCCCGCCGGCUAUCGCCCCUCCGGCGGCUUCGGGUUCAGCGACACCUGAUGUAGCAAUCGAGGAAGUGGAACGGGAGCGUGCAUUGGCGGCUCUUAUCAAGUUUAGGAAGUUCAAUCCGCCUAUCUUUGAAGGGGAGAGAGUGGAGCCAUCGAUGGUGGAGUCGUGGGUCGACUCAAUGGAAACACUCUUCGAAGACCUAUAUACUCGGAGAAGGACAAGGUGUAUCUCGCUACACAUUGCCUGGAGCAGGCGGCGAAGGUAUGGUGGAAGCGAGUGAAGCGGGAUCGGCCUUCCGACCUUCCACCGAUGCUAUAGGAGGAGUUCAAGAGGGUGAUGUUCGCCAACUAUUUUCCCGACACAGAGAAGCAGAAGCUCCAAAAAAAGUUUCGCAAGCUAAGGUAAGGGGACCGCACUGUGGCGGAUUAUGAGCAAGAGUUUUCCAUAUCAUCGAUUGUGUCCCGGAUAUGGUUCAAGAUGAUCGGGACCGAGCCGACUGGUUCUUGCGAGGACUUCGGCCGGGGAUUUUGUCACGCCCCGGGACCGGCGGAGGCCCUCCCGGUAGCGCGCCCAGACCCGCCAUAUGUCUACACAUAUAAGGCGUCUACAAUAAAAGCAGAAGUAAAGCAAGAGAUAGAAUAAAUAGAAUGAAUAGCAACUAAUGAUAUCAGAGCAAGUAAAGUUCUAUCAUCUAAACUAGAGUAAAAGAAACAUAUCUAAACAAUAAAAGUAACCAUAAGUAAUACAAUAUCUAUCUCAAAGGUACACAAAAGGGGGGUCUCUAGUACACUGGUACAACUCUCAACCUCUCCAAAAAGAAAUACAUCGAGAGGUAGACCACCUAAAAUCGUCACUCGCUGAAGGGCUAACUCGAAGCAGCGCCCUUCCCACGGUCCCUAGCCUCUCCCGGCGUGGAAGGCUCUGAAAGAAAUCAUGAAACAGAGGGCGUGAGAACUAUAAUUUAUAGUUCCCAGUGGGCAAUUACUGACCUCAGCUCAAUGCACCACUAGGCCCCAAAAGGAAAGGGUAAGUCGAAAGCAAUAGUAAUAACGAGUAAUUUGCAUUUAUGAAAGCAUAAUGAAAAUGCUAAACUAUUACUUGCAAUUAAACAUGGCAUUUAUGUAAUGCACAAUUAUCUUGUCAUGAAGGAUAUGUCUCUACUUAGCCAUAAAUAAUGUCAUGGUUUGCUUAAUGAAAUUAUGAGGAUUAUCCUUUAUCAUAGCAACAUUGUAUAUAUGAAUGCAAAUAAGCAAUGUCUCCUAGCAUACUACAUGUAUGUAUGUAUACCCAAAUGUCCAAAUCUAUGCUAGAAGCAAGUCCGAGUAAUCCAACUACUACUCUCUAUCUAGUAGUGAUUAUAACAAACUCAUCCCGUGUCGAUUUUCAUUUCCAAUUAAGGACCUACCCAAGGUAGUCCAGCUUGUGCCGCCUAAGUGCCUGUGGUAGCCCAACAUCCCUACUCUUGGAAUGUGUCUGUCCCACUCGACCCCGUAGGCUUCUCAAUACCGCACGAGCGAACAUAAGUCGCGUAGGCUAACUCCGGAGUGCCGGCUUGUAGGGAGCGACCCUCACAAGCAUGUGCGAAUGAGCACAAAUGGCAAACAAGCAAGGUCAAUGUCUCAAAUAUCCAAUCAUCAUGUCUCUAACAUGGCAAUAAUCACUAGCAUCUCGAAGAUCUAGUUCUAUGUCACAAUGUGAAAUUCUCAUAUUUACUGAGUCUAGUGCCCCUUUAUGACACUUAGACAUUUCGAUGUACAAGCAUGUUCCAAUUCUCUCAAUGGUACUAUCCACUAGGUUCGCACAUGACCGAGCUCAAUGCCCCUUUAUGGCAUUAGCCCAAUUAUUCACAAGUAGUACAAGUCCCCAGGCCUCUUUAUGGCUUACUAAGGUUCUGAUGUCACGAUUAGGCAUAAAGGUUAAAUGCAUAAUAGCAAUGUCCAAUUUCAUAAUGGGAAUCAUAGUUCCAAAUCUCAACUAGGAUGCUAUAUCUCACAUGUAUGCACUCUACCACAUAGAGGUCCAAAAAUUUACUAUAUAUUACCUAUGCAUGUUAAGCAUUCAAAAAUUCAUAAAAAAUGUAUCUAACAUGAUUAUGCAUGCUUUUCCAUUUUACAACACUUAAAACAUCAACAAUGAGAUAUUCUCAUUGUGUGGCUAGAUCAAACCCACCGAACUGUCGCAUGCUUCUUCGAUUCGCCGAACGGAGUUGUCCACGAGUCUCAAAAUACCCUAAAAGUAUUGAGCGAAGAGAUACACGGGCAUUACGAUCAACUAUAAGAUCAAACUUUAACAAACUUAGCAAAAUGGCUAAAACUCACCUAAUGUGUAGGAAAUCUCUCUCAAGCUCCAAAAGGAAGCUAAAUCCCUUCCAAUCCAAGCCCAAGGAAGGUUCUAAUCCAAACAAUCUAGCUCCAAAAGUCCUAGAUUUAAAAUGCCCAAAAUCAAACCCUAAGUAUCAAAUCUAGGGUUCCAUCUCAAAAACUUAGCAAAACAUGGAACAAAAGCUCAAAUCAUGUUGCUAACCUCUCUAGAAGUCUCAACUUGGGCUCCAAAUCAAAUGGGGUGGAAGAUCUUUCCUCCAAUAAGCCUCUAUCAAAGCUCCAAGUCCUCUCCAAUGGCGGAAAAAGCCUCCAAGAUGCAACAAGAAGCAAAAUGAGGCAUUAAUCCUAAAAAAUCUCCAAUAUAACCAAGGAAAAUAAAAAGGAGGGAAUGGAUGGGCUCCUCACCUUGUUUUCCUGUGGUUCCAGCACAAAAAAAGCCCUAAGGGACGUGGGUGCUGUUAUAGAGAGGCUACAAUCGCGAAAAAGCCCCUGCAGUUUCGAACUGCUCAAAAUCUGCCGCCUUGUACCGGUAUACGGGCCCUUGUACCGGUACAAGGCCCAUGAAAUCCAAACCCGAGGCUCGGGUUGCGGGGUUCAGCUGCUCUGUACCGGUACAAACCCGAUAGCUGUACCGGUACAACCAUCAACCUUGUACCGGUACAAGCACACCCUUGUACCGGUACAAGACCUCCAGAAAGCAAAUCCGAGAGCUGACGAAAAUCUAAUUUUUGGAUUUUGGUACACAGCUCUAAACCACAAUUCUCGGGACACGUGCCAUAGGUCGAAACACAGUCAACGACCCGCCAGAAAAUCUGGAAAAGCUCAGAACACAGCCAAUCACUCGAACCUCGCAAUUUGCAAAUGUCCAGUGUGUUACAGAUUUACAAGGUCGUGCAGAUACUCAAGCUCACGACCUUUGCAGAGGUCUUCGAUCGACCGCUGUGGGCGGAGCACGGUGAUGCCCAUGUGCACGAGGAGCGUGAGCUGUUGGCCGAGUCGAAGGACAAAGGCAAGAAACGACAAGGCGGCGGUUCGGGGGGACAAGCAAGCUCCAAGAAGCCCCGAAGUAUCCGCGGACUCAGUACAAGGGUCAUGGAGUGCGACGGUGUGUCAUAUGCCGCGGAGACCACCAAGAAUCGCGUUGUGAUCAGCGCCAAGGCAAGUGCUUUAAGUGCGGGCAACCGGGGCACUUCAUACACGACUGCUCGGGAGGGGGAGCUUCGCCUGCUCGAUCUAUUGCAUCAGAGCCGGUAGUUCCAGCUCACUAUGCAGAAUCUCCACCGGCGGCGGUGUCAGCGGGACGCGUGAUUGCGCCGCGACAACCCAAGACGGCGCGAUCGGCCCCGAGCGGUCGGGUAUUCGCCGCUCAGGUUCAAGUCGAGGAGCCUGCUAAGAUGGGGGAGCAUCACCUUGUGGCAGGUAUGGUUUUGAUUAACGGAGUUCGCUCCAGGGCUAUGUUUGAUACAGGUGCCAUCCACUCAUUUAUUAGUAGGUCAUUUGCACGCAUGCAUGACAUAGACAUACAGGCGGGUGAGGGUAGUGUAGUGCACUGGACCUUUGCAAAUUACGAGGUUCGAGUGUUUGGAUGUAUUUCAAGCUUUUCCACACUUGGUGGAGGGUUGUAGAAUGUUUUCCGACCCAAAAAGUUCGAAAACUGGAAUUCUGCACGAGAGUAGAGUACUUGAGACCUUGACCUUGCUUGCUUGCCAUUUGUGCUCAUUCGCACAUGCUUGUGAGGGUCGCUCCCUACAAGCCGGCACUCCGGAGUUAGCCUAUGCGACCUAUGUUCGCUCGUGCGGUAUUGAGAAGCCUACGGGGUCGAGUGGGACAGACACAUUCCAAGAGUAGGGAUGUUGGGCUACCACAGGCACUUAGGCGGCACAAGCUGGACUACCUUGGGUAGGUCCUUAAUUGGAAAUGGAAAUCGACACGGUUUGAGAAUGAACAAUCACUACCAGACAAGUUUAGUAGUUGGAUUACAUUUACAUGCAUAUAGCCUAGGAUUGAGAUAUGUAGUAUACUUGACAGCUACCUAUUUCACCACAGUAUACUUGGUUGCCAUGAUAGAGCUUAUACGCCAGGUAUGAAUAAAGGGUUGUAACAGUAAACUAUUGCCAUUGGUUACUUUCCCUUAAGAUAGAAUAGAUGUACAACAUUUGGACAUCGUGCUUAUGAGGGAUAUAGUAGUACAGCAUUUUACUUAUGCUCUCACUUUCAGCAGUUUAUUACAUGCUUCUUUUUAUUGCUCAUUGUUAUUACGUUACUUGCCCUUUUCUUUUGGGGCCUAGUGGCGCAUUGAGCUGAGAAUUGCCCACUGGAAACUAUAAAUUAUAGUUCUCACGCCCUCUUUUUCUCGAUGUUUUUCAGAGCCUUCCACUGAGGGUGAGGCCAGGGACCGCGGGAAGGGAGUUGCUUCGAGCUAGCUUCCUACGAGGACGACUUGCUAGGUGGUCUACCUCUCGUUGUAGUUUUUUAUUUUGGAGAGGUUGAGAGUUUUACCAGUGUACUAGAGACCACCAUUUUUGGUAUUAGAGGCUGAUACUGUAUAACUUAUGUCUACUUUUAUGUAUUAGUUAUGUUCUAUUACUAUUUGUAUAGAUGUUAGAACUUUACUCGCUCUGAAAUCAUUAGUUGCUUGUUAUUUCACUUCUUUUAUUUGAUCCAUCCCUUGCUUUUACUUCCGCUUUUCUUGUAGACGCCUUAUAUGUGUAGACAUAUGGCAGGUCUCGGCACGCUACCGGGAGGGCCUCCGCCGGUCUCGGGGCGUGACAGGUAGGUGGCGAGUAGAGAGCCCUGGGCCGGCACUUCAUAUUUAUACGGAGUGCCCGUCAUGUCCGGUGCAAAUAGGUGACUGGAUAAUGCCUAUUCAGACGUUGGUGCUCAAGAAAUUAAAGAAUUUCGAUGUCAUAUUGGGCAUGGACUGGCUCUCGAAGCAUUACGUGACGGUUGACUGUUAGAGCAAAGUGAUCACAUUUCCUGAGCCAGGAUAGGAGGAGUUCACGUACAAGGCGUGUGAAAGCUCAUGCUUCGCCGCGACGGUAUCAACGACAAGAACAAGAAAGUUGGUCAACAGUAGUUGCGCAGCUUAUUUAGCAACCGUUGUGGAAAUGGAUCGGGCGGCUCCGACCUUAGAAGAGUUGUCGGUGGUGCGGGAGUUUCCGGAUGUAUUUCCCAUGGAGUUGCCGGGAAUACCGCCGGAUCGGGAGAUCGAGUUCGUUAUAGACUUGGUUCCCGGUACCGCGCCGAUCUCGAAGGCUCUGUAUCGAAUGGCGCAAGCGGAAUUGAAGGAGUUGAGGACUCAAUUGCUAAAUCUCCUCGAUAAAGAGUUUAUUUGGCCGAGUGUAUCGCCGUGGGGAGCCCCAGUCUUGUUAGUGCGCAAGAAGGAUAGAUCGUUUCGACUCUGCGUGGACUACCGUGAGUUGAACAAGGUCACGAUCAAGAAUAAGUACCCAUUACCCCGAAUCGACGACUUGUUUGAUUAGCUGCAGGGGUCAUGCGUGUACUCGAAGAUAGAUCUGCAAUUUGGCUAUCAUCAAUUAAAAAUUAAGCCGGAGGAUGUACAGAAGACCGCGUUCCGUACGCGAUAUGGACACUAUGAAUUCACAGUCAUGCCAUUCGGCUCACUAAUGCCCCGGUAGCGUUCAUGGAUUUGAUGAACCGUGUCUUCAAGGAGUUUUUGGACCGAUUUGUCAUGGAUUUCAUAGACGACAUAUUAGUCUAUUCUCGCAGUGACGAGGAGCAUGCCGAGCAUCUAAGGAUAGUGCUUCAAAUCCUCCGGGAGGAGAAGCUAUAUGCGAAGUUGAAGAAGUGCGACUUUUGGCUUCGAGAAGUUGCAUUUCUUGGACAUGUCAUUUCCGAGGGGGGAGUUUCUGUUGACCCAAGAAAAAUUGAGGCAAUCAAGGAUUGGCCGCGCUCGACGAAUGUCACGGAAGUCCGAAGCUUUGUGGGCUUAGCGGGCUAUUAUAGACGGUUUGUGGAGGGUUUCUCGAAGAUCGUGGUUCCACUUACCCGUCUGACUCAAGAAAGCACCAAGUUCGUCUGGAGCGACGAGUGCGACCGGAGUUUCAAAGAGUUGAAAGAGAGAUUGACUUCGACUCCGGUGCUCGCUCUACCGAUGCAGGGUGAAGACUUUGUGGUAUAUAGCGACGCGUCCUAUUCGGGUUUGGGGUGUGUUCUAAUGCAAGGCGGGAAGGUGAUCGCUUAUGCGUCCCGUUAGUUGAAAAGCUACGAGAAGAACUACCCUAUCCACGACUUGGAGUUAGCCGCGAUAGUAUUUACACUCAAGUUUUGGAGACAUUAUUUGUACGGUACGCGUUGCGAGAUAUAUACUGACCACAAGAGUCUAAAGUAUCUGUUUACACAGAAGGAGUUCAAUAUGCGACAGCGGCGGUGGUUGGAAUUAUUAAAGGAUUAUGACGUCACGAUCCUUUACCACCCUAGGAAGGCGAAUGUGGUUGCUGAUGCCCUUAGCAGAAAGUCGGUGAAAAACCUCGCGUUGAAAGUCAUGACUCAGAGUCCUCUAUGCAAAAAGAUGAAGCGGUUGGAUCUCGAGGUAGUGGCUCCGGGGGUUUCGGCUAUGUUAUCGGUUCUCGUUGUUCAACCGACCUUGUUGGAGAGAAUUAAGAGUCUACAACCCGCGGACCCUAAUGCGGCGAGACAUCGAGGGUGGACGUGGUAGCGAUUUUGGUAUAGACUCCGACGGUGCGCUUCGGUUUCGUAACCGUUGGUGCGUACCGGAGAAUGAGGAAGUCCGAAGGUUGAUUUUGCAGGAAGCGCAUCAGACUCCCUAUAGUAUCCAUCCGGGCAGCACCAAGAUGUACCAGGAUCUAAAGAUGCAGUACUGGUGGCUGGGAAUGAAAGCAGAUAUUGGACGCUACGUGGUGCAGUGCCUAGUAUGCCAACAAGUUAAGGCGGAGCGCCGAUUUCCAGCAGGAAAGCUUCAGAGCCUACCUAUCCCUGUUUGGAAGUGGGAGGACAUAGCUAUGGACUUCGUGGUUGGAUUGCCCCAUUCAUCGGGUGGCCACGAUGCGAUUUGGGUUAUUGUGGACCCCAUUACCAAGUCAGCGCAUUUUCUACUGAUCCACACUACCUGGUCGGGUGAUAAGUUGGCUCAGGUGUACCUUGAUGAAGUGGUGAGGUUGCACGGGGUUCCGAAAUCAAUAGUAUCGGAUCGAGACCCCGGAUUCACUUCACAUUUUUGGAAGCACCUGCAGGAAGCCCUUGGCACACGGCUUGAUUUCAGCACCGCGUUCCGUCCUCAGACAGACUAGCAGUCAGAGAGAACCAUCCAGAUUCUGGAGGAUAUGCUGCAGGCCUGUGUCAUUGCUUAUAAGGGUAGUUGGGCAAGUCACCUACCUAUGGCCGAGUUCGCCUACAACAACAGUUACCAAGCUAGUAUUGAGAUGGCACUGUUCGAGGUCCUUUAUGGGCUGAAGUGUCGAUCUCCUAUACACUGGGGUACCUGAUGUAGGUGAGCGUGCGGUGCUAGGCCCCGAGGUAUUGCGGGAGGCGGAGGAGAAAGUCCUCCUUACUCGCAAGAGAUUGCUCACAGCGCAAUCUAGACAGCAAAACUAUGUGGAUAAGCGCCGUCGAGAUCUAGAGUUCGCGGUGGAUGACCGCGUGUUUUUGAAGGUCUCACCGAUGUGGGGUGUGAAGCAUUUUGGAGUUCAGGGAAAGUUGAGUCCUCGGUAUAUUGGGCCGUACGAGGUAUUGGAGCGAGUUGGAGCUGUAGUUUACCGGCUUGCAUUGCCACCGCAACUCGCGAAAAUUCAUAAUGUAUUCCACGUCUCCAACCUUCGCAAGUAUAUCCACAACCCCGAACAUGCGAUGUUGUACGAACCGCCGGAACUUCAAGAAGACUUGAGUUACGAAGAGUUUCCGGUGAUGGUUAUUGCUCGAGGGGUGCGCAAGUCAUGAAAUUCCCUACGUCAAGGUCCGGUGGAGUAAUCACGUUGACUGCGAAGCCACCUGGGAACUCGAGGAUCUGAUGAAAGUGCAUCAUCCUCACCUGUUUGAGGAAUAAGGUAUAAAAAUUGAGUUUACGUUGGAAUUGGAUUAGUUUCGGGGACGAAACUUCUUUUUUGGAGCGGAGGAUGUAAGGAAGUGAAUUCUCGAAAUCCGAGAGUUGGAUUCCGCUUAAAAUCGACUAAUUGUCGAGUGGGUAUGCUUCGGAAAAGCCGAAGAAGUCGAAAACCCAAAAAGUGCAUUGGCGAGGGCCUCGGACGGAAAAGCCGAAGAAGUCGAAAACCCAAAAAGUGCAUUGGCGAGGGCCUCGGACGGAAAAGCCGAAGAAGUCGAAAACCCAAAAAGUGCAUUGGCGAGGGCCUCGGACGGAAAAGCCGAAGAAGUCGAAAACCCAAAAAGUGCAUUGGCGAGGGCCUCGGAGAGCAAAAGAAUUAAAAUCUGCAAUUUUGCAGAUUUUACUCUCGGGAACCGGUCCCUGGUGGGAGAGACCGGUCCCCGUAAGCUGAAAGUGCGGCAGGAAACUCUGCGCGCGAUGUUUACUCUCGGGGUCCGGUCCCUCAAGCGGGGACCGGUCCUUGAAGGUCCCGUCCCUCAGGCCAGGACUGGUCCCCGUACGCAUAGAAGCUAGCUGAGAGCCUCUGCCCGCAAGGGUUUCUUUCGGGGACCGGUCCCUUUAGGGACAGACUGGUCCGCGAGCACGAAAAUUGCCCAGUCUGGGCUGUGUGAGGGAAGCAAAGCGGAGGGGUUAUUAUGCAAUUGUUGCAUUAGUGAGGGGUAUAGAGGGGAGAUCACUCUCUCCCUCUCUCAUUUUCACCCAACACACUCUCCCUUUCUCUCUCUCUCUCUAAACACACUCUCUCUCUCUUGAAGUGAAAAAGGAGAAGAAGAAAAGGAAGGAGAAGAAGGAGAAGCAAGCUAGAGAAGGACUUUGGUCAUCUUCUUCUUCCUCUCCUCACCAUUGGAGCACGCUUAGGGGUAAGCUUCUAAACCCAACAAUGGUAAAAACCUAGGGUUUGGAUUGUUAGCUCUAGAAUGGGUUUGAUUAGUGUUCUAGCAUGUUUAAUAGUUGCUUAAUGCUAGAAUCUAGAGUUUUGUCGUAGUAUUUUGCAUAGAUGCAAACCUAGGGCUCUAAAUUCAGGUUUUGUUAAAUAGUGAGGUUUGAUCUCAAUUGAUGGCAUCUAAACCUAAUUGCUAGGCGUCUAAACACGUUGGCGAAGACGGAUUGACGAUUCGUCGAGUCGUUGAAAAGAUAUCGGCAAAACAAGACCGAUUGGGCUUCGUUUCCGCCUCGGAGGCCGAAACGACAUCGUAGCAAGUGCCGAGUAGCGUUCUUAGAGCUUCGACAUCGUCGAAAGGUGGGUGGUGUCAUCCCGAAGCAACCGGGUUCCUCUCUAUGUCUUAGCACACCAUGAUUUUGCAUCUCUUGCAUAUUGCAUUGUAGGAUUGCUUUUUUUUCCAUUCCUUAUGCUGUCUGAUUGAUAUCAUAGUGUGAGUUGAAUGCUUGGUAUAAUGGAUAGAUAAGGAUUGGGUCUUGACAUUGAAUCCUAUAGUGCCGAGGAAAAGAGAUGGACUUGAUGGUUACCUAGUGACAUAAUGAGUGGCACAUGAUUGAUAAAUGAAUAGAGCGAGUGGCAUAUAACUUAGUGUAAAAUGACACUAGUGGGUUGUGAAUUUAGGGAUAGGUGGAUUCCCUAGUGAUGACUCGUUGAACAAAAACAUAGUGUAGUUAAAUAUUUACACAUGGGCAUUGGGAUAGACGAAUUCCCGAGUGACUAUUAGCCCUAGUUGAUAAGGUAUCCUCGAGUUGAGAGGAUCGGAUCAUACUCACAGUCUGUUUAUACUUGUGGUGGUCUCACCACACAAGUCAUCGUGCACUUCGGGGUUUGGCGCGAGAGAGACAGAGUUGAUGUCCCGCAAACGGUCCCGGGUUUGAGUGUGAGGUGAGUCUCCUUACCAUACGGGAUGGCGAGGUGAGUCGUGGGCGAACCCGAGGGAUCGCCAAGGAUUGAGUAAACAAGAGAAUAGCAUUGUUAUUGAACAUUUGCUUAUUGGACAUGGUUAGUGGACAUAGUGGCAUGUUAGUAAACUGUUUACUAUUUGAGGCAUGCAUGCAUUACACAUGAUUGGGCAUAGUAGCAUUGUCACGCCCCACUACCGACACCAAUUUGGGCCGGUUCGAGCACGUUAAACAGACGCCGAACGGACAGAGUUUCCCCUAUCCGCCCAAGGCUCAUCACAUGUACAUUUUCAAAUAAAAAGUGACUAGCAGAAACAUACAAACACGGCUUACACGAGGGAAAGCAAUAGCCAUGAGUGAAGAGAUAGGAAAGCUAUGUAACUACGCAAGUACUAUGAUUCAUUUUGAUCACAUACAUGUAUUCAUUUACAUUCAUGAUUGUUUGCAUUUCAUUACAUUACAUCGUUUGCAUCAUUUCUUUUACAUCACAUUUACCACAAAAUGGGCUUUACAUUCUUUUCUUUACAUCACUAGUCAUCAAAUACAAAAUAUGAACAUAGGGUACUCUACUAACAAAAUGUAAACCCAACUCAACUCUGGUGGCCUCUGUCUAAGGCGCGAUACCUUUACCUCGGUCGCUCGCUGGCUCGCUCGAUCCCGGCUCUGUGGAAGUAGUGGGGUGAGAACUAUAACAAAGUUCCCAGUGGGUUCGGCCCCAACAUCACCGACUUUACCACUAGGACUAACUCAGGCAUAAUAGAAAGGAUAAGCAGAAUAGUAACUAAACUAUAGUCAUGAUGCUAAUAUGCCUGAACAAUAAAGCAAGGAAUAUGCUCAACAUAAAUUAUGCAAAUUAUGCAAGUUCUUUAUUCUUUUACUCUUUGUUCUUUUGUUCUUUAAUCUCACGGCUAACCCGGGGGUUUCGCCACAUUAACUUACCCACAUUAAGUCCAUCAUCGCGGGCCCUCAGCUUCCUCCCGCUAAGACCGUCCUCGGGUUUACUCCAACCCGUGAUGCAAAAACUCCGGAGCGCAUCGCUCGAGGGGGUGCGACCACCCUCAAGCACGGAACUCAUAGCAAGUAUGAUCGAAUUCUUAACUCUAAGGAUUAUAAGUUCAAUCAUGUCGUUACACUAACUCUAGUGUCCUUUACAUCACUUUAUGUUGCUAACUCUAGCAAUCGUUGUUCUUUGCUCUUUACAUGUUCUUUUUGCCCCACUUUGCAUUAUUCUUUCAUUCUUUAUUCUUGAUGCCACACUUUGUAUUAACUUUAGCCAUUGUCAUUACCUUUACAUCACAUUGAUUCUUUGCCCCACACUAACUCUAGUGUUCUUUACUUUACAUUAUCAAAUGCCACUCGAUCUAUGUCAUAGUGUGUCACUCUUCUUUUGCCUCACUUGGGUGCUCACAUUUCCUCUCAUGCAGACAUAUAGGGUUUCACAUUUAUAUAGGUUCUCAACCAUUAUUAAGCAAGACGUACUCACAAUCAUGCCAAAUCACAUUCUUUUCAUUGCUUUACCCAAAAUGCAUGCAACAAUGUAUGUAACAUAUGCUCAAUUGAAUGACGCAUUAGGCAUAGAAGGAAGUUCAAUGAGUUUGGAUAGCACCACCCACCUCGUAGGCUUUCUUCGGUGCUUCGACGAUUUUCUUGGGAUUUUUAGACACCCGGUUCGCUACCUGCGAGUUAACGAAGCCAAAUUAGGCUUAUUUGGCCCUAACUUUACAUCGGCUUUUCGUAACGUCAAUCCGAGCGCGCCAACGCGUCGGAAAUACCCCCAAUUAGGUUUCUAGAGGGUCAAUUGCACUUUAGAACCCUCGCAAGCAAAAGCCCCCAAUUUGGGUGCCCUAGCUUCAUAGCAUUUGAAAACCUAGGGUUUGAUCUCAUUGGGAAGCAAAAGAAGCUUCAUUGUACUCUAAAUAGCCCAUCUAAACCAUUCCUAGCUUAAUCAAAAUCCUAGUUUGGAUUUCACCAUGAGAGGUGUUGAAGCUCUCCUUCAAGCUUCACCUCCAACAUUCAUGCCAUGGUCUUGAUCUCAAAUGAAGCAAAAGAAAAGCUUCAAAGACUAAAACAGCUCUAGAAAAACCAUUACUAGCUUAAUCUAAACCCUAGAUUAGGCUCUACCAUGAUUAGGGCUCAAGGCUUACCUUGUAAGCCUUCCUUUUCCAAGUUAGAGAUGAGGGAGAGGGAGUUUCUUCACUCCUUCUUCUUCUCCACUUUCUUCUUCUUCUUUUCCUUUCCUUCCUUUGUCUUCUUCUUCCUCUUCUUGUCUUCUAGAGAGAGAAAGAGAGAUGAGAGGGGAUGAGAGGAUGAGAAUGAGAGAAAUACCUCAUUACCCCUUAUACAUAUCUCUAUGGGUUGCAAAAUUACAGCUAAACCCCUCAACUUUCAUUUCAUUACACUGCCAGGACUGGGCAGAUUUCGCAUGCGGGGACCGGUCUCCCCGACUAGGGACCGGUUCCCGAAGCUCCUCCCUACGGCAGCCAGGGCUCCCGCGCGAUGCGACCGGUCUCUCUUUGGGGGACCGGUGUCUCGGGGACCGGUUCCCGAGAGCAGGUUUUCUGGGACUUAGCCAAAUUUUUGGCUGUCUCAUUUCUCACGCGUUCAGGGACCGGUCCCCGAGAUUUAAAAUUCUGCAGUUUGUAGAAUUUUGACCUCUUAGCUCUCGAAAACCUUCCAUAACACACUUUUACUCAUUUUAACACCUCCGUACUUUCCGAAGUGUACCAACCUCACACUUUCGUCAAUUUGACUAAAGUUCGAUAUUUAUUUACCGAAGCUUUUCGGUAUAUUACAUUCUCCACCCCUUAAAAUAAUUUCGUCCUCAAAAUUAACCAUACCAUAACUCGUUGACUCGAAUAAAUGCGGAUAGUUCCGCCGUAUCAUUUCCUCGAGCUCUCAAGUUGCUUCUCGCACCGCAUGGUUGCUCCAUUGGACUUUCACAUAAGGAAUUCUGCGACUCCGCAGCUUUCGUUCCUCUCGAUCGAGUAUGCACACGGAGUACUCCUCAUAAGACAUGUCUUCGCGUAACUCCACGGGCUCAUAUUCUAACACAUGUGUCGAGUUGCGAAUAUACUUUCGAAGGUUUGACACAUGGAGCACAUUGUGAACUCCCGCGAGUCUCGGUGGUAGUGCGAGCUUGUAGGCCACCGCAGCCACGCGCUCCAAAAUCUCGAACGGUCCGACAUAUCGGGGACUUAGCUUCCCACGGACCCCAAAACGUUUUACUCCACGCAUUGGCGAUAAUCUUAAGAACACGCGGUCUCCAACCGCGAACUCUAGAUCUUUUCUUCGCUUGUCGGCAUAACUCUUUUGCUGAGAUUGCGCCGCCGCUAAUCGUUGACGAGCAAGACGAACCUUUUCUUCCGUCUCCCGUACCACAUCUGAACCAAGGGCCGCUCUCUCACCCACGUCGCUCCAAUAGAUAGGAGAACAACACUUGCGUCCAUACAAGGCUUCAAACGGAGCCAUCGCGAUACUUUCUUGGUAACUGUUAUUAUACGCGAACUCCGCCAUCGGCAAGAAAUCAUUCCAACCGCCUUUAUAAUUGAGUACACAUGCUCGAAGUAAAUCCUCAAGGAUCUGUAUCGUCCGCUCCGACUGUCCGUCAGUUUGAGGAUGGAACGCUGUACUGAAGUCAAGCCGUGUGCCCAACGCAUCCUGCAAACUCUUCGAGAAAUGAGAUGUGAACCUGGGGUCUCGAUCUGACAGAAUCGACACUAGAACCCCAUGAAGUCUCACAACCUCGUCGAGAUAGACUUGAGCUAACUUGUCUCCCGACCACGUAGUAUGUAUCGGCAAGAAUUGUGCCGACUUUGUCAAUCGAUCCACUAUCACCCAUAUCGCAUCGUGUCUGCCUUGUUAUCGAGGCAAACCGGUAAUAAAGUCCAUCGCUAUAUCUUCCCAUUUCCAAACGGGUAUAGAUAAACUUUGUAGCUUUCCCGCCGAAAAUCAGCGCUCGGCUUUCACUUGUUGGCACGUUAGACAUUGCACCACGAACUCCCCAAUAUCUCUUUUCAUGCCCGACCACCAAUAAUGUUCUUUCAAGUCCUUAUACAUUUUAGUGCCGCCGAGGUAUAUGCUAUAAGGGGAUUGGUGCGCUUCUUGCAUAAUCGCCCUUCUUAACUCGUCAUCCUUAGGCACACACCAUCGAUUUCUAAAUCGAAGUGCGCCCUCGGCUCCAAUACCAAAGUCUUCAGCAUAGCCUCUCUCAACUUCACUUCGUACUUUUUGAAGAUAAGGAUCUGAAGCUUGAAGUUCUUUAAUCCUCUCGAACAGGGUCGGUUGCACAAUAAAUGCAGUAAGAACGGCCGGCACUCCCGGCGCUACUACUUCCAACCCAAGACGUUGCAUUUCCUUGUGCAAUAGCGGUUGAGGCGUGAUUGCCGUCGCUAAAUUAUCCGCCGACUUUCUACUCAACGCAUCGGCUACGACAUUGGCUUUCCCGGGGUGGUACAGUAUAGUGACAUCGUAGUCCUUCAACAACUCUAACCACCGCCGUUGUCGCAAAUUCAACUCUUUCUGGGUGAACAAGUAUUUGAGACUCUUGUGAUCAGUGUAGAUCUCGCAAUGCUCACCAUACAAGUAAUGCCUCCAAAGCUUCAACGCGAAGAUCACCGCGGCUAACUCAAGGUCGUGAAUCGGGUAGUUCUUCUCAUAACUCUUUAAUUGGCGCGAGGCAUAAGUAAUGACUCGCCCAUUUUGCAUUUGUACACACCCGAGACCAACAUACGAGGCAUCACUGUACACUACAAAAGUUUCCCCCGGAGUCGGCAAGGCAAGCACCGGGGUCGACGUCAACCUGUCCUUUAACUCUUCGAAGCUCCGAUCGCAAUUGUCGCGCCAAACAUACUUUAUUCCCUUACGCUUGAGGCCCGUUAGUGGAGUGGUUAUUUUGGCGAACCCCUCCACGAACCGCCGGUAGUAGCCCACAAAUCCAAGAAAACUGCGGACCUCCGCUACAUUCGUCGGGCGAGGCCAAUCUCAUAUUGCCUCAACUUUCUUCGGGUCUACGAACACUCCGUCGCUCGACACCACUGUUAGGUCCUAUGUGUUGGCAAGUUUCGUGGGUCGAGUCGGAGUCUUGAAGAAGUCCGGAGCGGAGUAUUGAAGAUCGAAGAAUCCAAGACUUCGAAGAAUCGGAAAUGACGCAAAACACGUAAAACAUAGAUCGACGAUUGCUUAAGGUAAGCUUUAAAUCUUGUUGUAUGGAUGCAUCUACUUAAUUAUAGAGUUUAGAAUCAUGUUUUUAAGGUUGUAAUUUGAUUAGAAAGUUUCUAAGAGCUUGUAAAACUGAACAAUGCAUUUUCAGCCGAAAAUUGCAUGUGUACCGUACCAAAGAGUUUUCUGUCCAGGGUACACCAAUCAGCGUUGUGCCGCAGAAAAAGUUUGAUGGGUCUGUCCGCGUAACAACCCUCACGGCAUGAUCAGGGUACAAGCCCUGCUCGUACAAGAUGAGUCUGUCAGGGUACAGAAGCUUCGGCGCCAGAAAAAUCUUCCGUCAUGCUGUACCCUGGAACAGCCUUUCCUUGUUCAGGUACAAGGUGCACUGAUUUUGGAAAGAAACUUUCUAAUCCUACUCUGUUUUGAUUCUAAUGUCCUAUAAAUAGCGUAUAGGGCGUUCUCUAACGAUUAAGUCAUAGAAUACAUGUUUGAGAAACCCUAGAGGCUCGUGGAUUUCAUUUAAACUCUAUUUUCUACAAAUAGCCUCUUUAUCAGAUCAAAUCGAGAUAUCGUUUCGCAUUCUCUAUAUGUCGAUUUGAUCUCCGCUUCGCUUCGGAAGUUAUAUUCCCUGGUUUUCUACCGAACUCCUAAGCGAAGGGAUCACCAUAAUCAGUGAUACUCUUCAUAUGAACGGCGUCGUGUGAUUCGCGAUCAUCCGUGAACAAGGGCCGUUGUGGAUUCGGAAUCGUUGGCUCGUGGAUUCGAGUGGCGUGUGGAUUCGGCGUUUGAUUGAAGCUUCUGGAUUCGAAGUUGGAGGCGUUCGUGGGACUCGAACGUGAGGGCGGGGACAACCGGAGGGUAGCGCGAAGAUCAUAGGCAGGGUGAUAGAGUGGUUAGUCCGAUGGAGUCGGUAAUACCUUGGUAUCUUUUCUCUUAGUGAAUUAUUUUUUCGCGAUGUUGCGUCCCUGGUUUUUCUCUAAGCUGGUUAUCCCAUGUAAAUCUCGGUGUGCUUUUUAUUUUCCGCAUUUAUUUUUAUUGCAUCGAGAUUUGUGGUUUUUGGCCUUUCACCUAUUCACCCCCCUCUAGGUGAUAGAUACAAUCUAGAUAGAUCCUUGGGCUCCUCAAAACUUUCAAUUGGUAUCAGAGCAGGAUCUAGAUAAAUUGCUUUCUAAUGGCCGAAGGCGGUAACGUUAAUCGACCACCACUCUUCGAUGGCACGAAUUAUGCCUAUUGGAAAGUUCGCAUGAGAGCUUUUCUAAUUGCAAUCGAUGAGCUGAUAUGGAAAGCUAUUGAAUUCGGAUGGAAACAUCCUACCGAAGUUGUCGAUGGUGAUACCGUCUCUAAACCACGAAACAAGUGGACAAAAGAUGAAAACGAGUCAUCUUCGUUUAACGGUAAAGGAAUUAAUGCUUUAUUCAACGCUUUAUCGCAAACGGAGUUUACUCGGGUUUCGGCAUGCGAAACGGCCAAGAAAAUUUGGGAUACUCUACAAAUUACACAUGAGGGUACUAGUUUAGUAAAAAUUCAAAAGCUCCAAAUGUUGACUAGUCAACUUGAUUCUAUUCGUAUGGAAGAGCAUGAAUCUUUUACCGAUUACUACAAUAGGCUUCAAGAUAUCAUUAAUACAUGUGCUAAUUUAGGAGAGAAAAUUCCGGAUUCUAAAGUUGUUCGUAAAAUUCUUCGAACUCUUCCGGAACGUUUUCGGGCUAAAGUAGUCGCGAUCGAAACGGUCAAACAUUCGGACGAGAUGAAAGUCGAGGAAUUAGUAGGUGCUUUACAAACUUACGAAAUGACCUUUCCUACUAAUCAAUCUUCUUCCAAGUCUUCUUCUAAAAGCAAAGGUGUUGCAUUGAAAUCUACAAAGGAGAAGGACGAAGACUCGAGUUCCGACGAUGAUUUAUCAAUUGUGGACUUUGAACAACAAUUGGCGCUUCUUACGAAGAAGUUUCGUCGAAAUUUUCGGAACAAGAAUAGAUUGGACAAGGCUUCAUCAUCUAAGCGACAAUCUUUGUCUAAAUCAUCUUCAUUGUCAAAGUCUAAGGAUAAAAACCGUGCAAAGUCUUCAAAGGAAAAGGAUGAAUUUGAAGGAGAGAUCCAAUGCUUCAAGUGCAAAGGUUACGGCCACAUUGCGACGGAUUGUCCUUCAAAGAAGACAUAUAGACAAAAGGCUAUGCAAGCAAAGACGUGGGAUGAUUCAACAUCAAGUGAAUCAUCGUCAAGUGACGAAGAUAAGAAUGAUCAAAUUGCCUUAUUUACUAACACUUCUCUACCUUCGUCGAAUGUUGUAUGUUUAUCCUCUUUUGCUACUAAUUCCAACAUUUCUCUUUCUUCACAUGAUUCUUCGAGCAACAAUGGCGAAAGUGAGGAGGAAUCAAACGACGACAACAUAGGGGAAGCGUACAAUCAACUUCUCAUUGAAUCAAAAAAGAUGGCUAAACUCAACAAGAAGUUGAGACGUCGUUUGUUGGAACUUGAGGAGGAAAACAACAACGUAAAGAAUUUGAAUAAGGUUCUUGAGGAGGAAAGGGAUUCAAACUUGAAGAUUAAUUCGGACCUCCAAGAGAAGCUUAAUGAAGCGGAAUCAACGAUCAAAUCUUCUAACAAUAAGAUUGGAAUUUUGGAGCAUCAAUUUCAUGAAUCGCACAAGUCCAAUCAAGUCUUGACAGAUCAAGUUCGUCAACUCCAAUCCGAUCUUCAACAAUUUUCUUCGGGAUCAAAGAAGUUGGACAAAAUGCUUGGAUUGGGUCAAACGAACAAAUUGGGCCUCGGAUAUGAACGGACAUACGUUGAAAAGGAUUCAAUAACAACUUCUAAAGUCUCAACAACUUCGAAAGAGAAAGUGUGUCAUAAAUGUGGCAAGAAAGGACACAUUAAAAGGAAUUGCCCAAAUAAGGAAAAGAAGUAUCAAUCGGCAAUGUCUAAACCUCAAACGGCAUCAUCUACAACUCGACUUCCCCCGCGGAAUCAAAAGAAAAAUCAAGUUAGUCGAGUACCUCAAAAGAACCGGAUUUCUAAUGCACAACGUCAAAUUCAUGCAAAACAGGUGCAUAAGCCUCAACGACAAAUUCAACCGAAGCCUCAACCGAAGAAACCACCAACGGUUGAUCAAAAAUCUAAACAAAUGGCACCUAACGUCGACAAGUCGAGAAAACCAACGAUCCGACAAGUUUGGAUCCGGAAAGGUGAUAUCUUUCCUUGCUCCUCGUCCUAGUCAUUUUGAUCUUUAGUGUAGUGCUUUGAUUGGUGCUUGUUACAUAAUUUUAUUCAUUGCAUUACAUGUUUACAUGAUUUUUGGUGCUUGAAUUUUAUUGGUUUAUAAAUCUUUUCGAGGAAAGGUGUUUAGAAAUUCAAAAUUUUCAAGAAAAGAGAUAAUUGAGAUCCAUGAUUUUGGAGAGAGAAAUUUUUUUUUAAAAAAAAAUGUUUGAACGUUGUUUAUUUUCACAAUGAUAAUUAAGUUAAAUUCAUAUUAAUUAUCGGUUUUACUCCACUUUUUAUUAUUUUGACGAUAAUUUAAUAUAUGAUUUCUUAAUGCAUAAAUUCAUCAAAACUUUGAAAUCAAAUUUGAUUUUUUGGUGAUUAAUUCAUCGUGGUUGUGAGUGUUGGAUAUGAUGAAUGGAUAUUCUCUAAUUGACUAAAAUUCGUCAAAAUUAUUUUCAACUGUGAGAUUGUCUAAUUUAGGGGGAGUUUGAAAUUGUUUAAAAAUAAAAAAAAAGGAGAAAAAGAAACUCCUAUGUUUAAAAGAUGUGGAAAGAGUUACAUCCUAAAAGGAGUGUGAAAACUACCACCACAUGUAGGAAAGAGUUACCACCCCGGUCGACCGGUAAGUGUGUGAAGCUCCCACAUGGAAUUUAAAUGAAAAUGCCAAAAAAGGUUGAAAAAAUAAUAAUUUUAGAAUUUUCGGAGUAAUAAGGUGCUAGUUUGAAAAAGAUGCUCAAAGAGCCACCCCCGGUACCAUAUUAGUUAAAUCUCUAUUUUGAAUGUGUUGCGACAAAUUGGUGUUAAUUUUGUUGAAUUUCUAAAAAUCAUUUUUCAUCAACUUACAUCUUGAUGGUUUUGAAUCAUUAAAUUAUUUUUGAUAUUGAAAUUUUGAUGUUUAGAUGUGUUUCGAAAUUUUAUAAUAUCUUAUUUUCAUUAUAAUAAUUUUUGGAGUAAAAGCCUUAAAUUAUUUGAAAUUAAUUUAAUUUGAUGGAUUUUUAAAGCAAAUUUUUCGAAAUCUGAGAUAUUUUGUC